UACGGAGGGGGCUAGCGUUGUUCGGAAUUACUGGGCGUAAAGAGCGCGUAGGCGGCCUAUCAAGUUGGGAGUGAAAUCCCAGGGCUCAACCCUGGAAUUGCUUUCAAGACUGUUAGGCUUGAGACCGGUAGAGGAUGGUGGAAUUCCUAGUGUAGAGGUGAAAUUCGUAGAUAUUAGGAGGAACACCAGUGGCGAAGGCGGCCAUCUGGGCCGGUUCUGACGCUGAGGCGCGAAAGCGUGGGGAGCAAACAGG
rnacentral:misc_RNA from 1 species